UAAAAGACACUAAACAACGUUGACAGAGAAG
rnacentral:piRNA from 2 species